rnacentral:lncRNA from 10 species
UUUGUGGCUCCCCAGCCUACAAAAGACUUUCAUGUCCUCUAUUGGGCUGGGAAAAUCCUGUUCUUCAAGUUAUCUUUAGUCAUGCUAGAAAAGAAGCAAACUGGGAAGAGAAAGACAAGAGAAAUUCAUAGGGGAAAAAAAAUUAAAGACCAGACUUAAGGUUCCUGUGAGAAAAAAGGAAACUGAAUUAUAAAUCUGUCAUAUUUAGAAAGACUAUGAAAAUGAUGUUAGAUAAAAAUUAAAUUCAAGCAAUUUUCUUGUUCGAGUUCAAAACGGGUCAUAAAGCAGCAGAGAUAACUUGCAACAUCAACAAUGCAUUUGGCCCAGGAACUGCUAAUGAACAUACAGUGCAGUGCUUGUUCAAGAAGUUUUGCAAAGGAGAAGAGGAAGAUGAGGAGUGUAGUGACCAGCCAUUAGAAGUUGACAACAACCAAGUGGGAGCAAUCAUCAAAGCUCAUCCUUUUACAACUACACGAGAAGGUGCCGAAGAGCUCACCAUUGACCAUUCUAUGGUCAUUUGGCAUUUGAAGCAAACUGGAAAGGUGAAAAAGCUCGAUAAGUGGAUGCCUCAUGAGCUGAACCAAAA